CGGACCCUUCCCUCCAUCAUCGUCGAAUCCAGAACUUACCUGUCCGCCCUCCACCGCCAUCUCCCAGCCUUUGGACCUCGCUCAGCUCUGCUGCCCAUCCGGAACCCGCAGCAUCCACCCUCUCAAUCCGAGACUAUAUCUACCAGAAAUGAGCAGCAUUCCCCCCCAGUUUGGACCCUAACCACGCCAACAUCUUUACUGGGUUAUUGUUUUACAAUAAAUAUUCUUCAACUGAUUCUUUGUCUCCUGUGAUGUUCUGCAUGUGGGCUAGAAACCUAAACCCCAACAUGACAGCCACGCCCUCAAACACAGGGGAUAUUUAAAGAUUAAGGACCUAUCUUUAAAAUACGAAAUAAAAA